UACGAAGGGGCUAGCGUUGCUCGGAAUCACUGGGCGUAAAGGGUGCGUAGGCGGGUCUUUAAGUCAGGGUGAAAUCCUGGAGCUCAACUCCAGAACUGCCUUUGAUACUGAGGAUCUUGAGUUCGGGAGAGGUGAGUGGAACUGCGAGUGUAGAGGUGAAAUUCGUAGAUAUUCGCAAGAACACCAGUGGCGAAGGCGGCUCACUGGCCCGAUACUGACGCUGAG
rnacentral:rRNA from 1 species